CAGCAGCCACGGGAAUACAGAGGAUGCAAGCGUUAUCCGGAAUGAUUGGGCGUAAAGCGUCUGUAGGUGGCUUUUCAAGUCCGCCGUCAAAUCCCAGGGCUCAACCCUGGACAGGCGGUGGAAACUACCAAGCUAGAGUACGGUAGGGGCAGAGGGAAUUUCCGGUGGAGCGGUGAAAUGCGUUGAGAUCGAAAAGAACACCAACGACGAAAGCACUCUGCUGGGUCGACACUGACACUGAGAGACGAAAGCUAGGGGAGCAAAUGGGAUUAGAUACCCGGGUAGUCCCUGUCUCUUAUAU
rnacentral:rRNA from 1 species